UUACCUCGCCGCCGGUAGACGAUUGCCGGAGAACUCAACAGAGAAUUAAUUGUAAGUGCUGCUUUGCUGCAGUGUAGAAAACCUGUGACUGAGAAAGGAGAAUCCGUAUUUAUAUAAAUCGGAUGAACCGGGACUGACCGGUUGAGCCUAGAGAGUAUGCAAAGACCGGAAUUGAUGAUUAGUGGAGUACGAUAAUAAGAGUAUAUUAGUAAUAGAUUUUGGGGAAAAAAAACUAAUUUCCUUUCGAAUCGUAUGACAACCAACUAAUAAAUUCACAAAGCCAGUCCCAAAUAGUAGUAUUUUAUCAAAAUUAAAUUUAGAUUGAAAUAUCUAAUAUUAUAGGAAAAUAAAAAGUCAUUUAUAGUACCUUAUUUU
rnacentral:lncRNA from 1 species